rnacentral:rRNA from 1 species
AACGUAGGAGACAAACGUUAUCCGGAGUUACUGGGCGUAAAGGGCGUGUAGGCGGUUUGUUAAGUCUGGCGUGAAAGCUCUCGGCUAAACCGGGAGAGGUCGUUGGAUACUGGCAAACUAGAGGACGGUAGAGGCGUGUGGAAUUCCGGGUGUAGUGGUGAAAUGCGUAGAGAUCCGGAGGAACACCAGUGGCGAAGGCGGGUCUCUGGACAGUUCCUGACGCUGAGGCACGAAGGCCAGGGGAGCAAACGGGG